rnacentral:tRNA from 1 species
GCCCGGCUAGCUCAGUCGGUAGAGCAUCAGACUCUUAAUCUCAGGGUCAUGGGUUUGAGCCCCACAUUGAGUG